AUUCCCGCCUGUCACGCGGGUGACCCGGGUUCGAUCCCCGGCAAUGGCGUUUUAUCACGUUUUCUCAUUUUUUUUUCCCCGUUUGCUUAUUUUCUAAACCGAUGGGCGAUUCCGGCGAUCAUGGUCGACGCAGUAGCCCCGUUGGCGUCGACCAGCUCAACGCUGCCUCCUAUCUCGAUCCCCACUAUUGGGGCGAGAGGUUCAAAGACUACUCCCACUUCCAACACCUCCUCCGCCCCUUCCUCAUUCCAUCCCACUCGGUAUUGGAGAUCGGUUGUGGCAAGCCGCGGCUCUGCAAGGAGCUUCAUAAGGAUGGCGUCGCCGACAUGACCUGCGUCGACAUCUCUCCUGUCGCGGUUGAAAGGAUGCGGAGCCGCUUUCGAGACGAGGGACAUGAAGGAGAUGAGUCUGAUUUUCCUUGCACCGCCAGGCGUCAAGGUGGUUCAGGCCGACAUGCAAGAUCUACCUUUCGGCAGUGAGUCAUGGCAUUCAAUUUGGAUUCUUUGGUAAUAUUGCUAGGUAUUGGAGAUCAGUCAUGGCAACUCGCUGCUCUGCGAGGAGCUUCACAAGGAUGGCGUGGCUGACAUGACCUGCGUCGACAUCUCUCCUGUCGCGGUUGAAAGGAUGCGGAGCCGCUUUCCAGACAAGGGACUUAAAGUUUUCCUUGCACCGCCAGGCAUCAAGGUGGUUCAGGCCGACAUGCAAGACCUACCUUCGGCAGUGAGUCCUGUUCUUCAAUAUUGUGAUCGAGAAAGGCUGAAAUGCCCUUUUAAGUCCUAUGUGCUUAUGUCACAUUCCGGUCGGUGUGGUGCGGCGAGGUCCCAGCCUAUAUGUCGUCUUCUGGAUCCAGAUCACGCUCGACUAGGUGUCAUUAGAUAUAGCUCUUCAUCCUACUCGAAGCCAUCUUCUCUUCUGGAUCAUAACAACUCGAACAGAAUCCCGACCAAUUCACUGAUCCAUCCGAUGGUACCCCCUAGGCCAGGCUCCGUUACUGAUUCAUAUCCAUCCUUUCGGUGGGACCGUGACGACUCGGUCAGCAUCCGAUCAGCUCCUCCAUCCAUCCGAGGGCGCCCCCUGGGCUAGGGUACGUUCUCGUACUCGGUAUUUGUUUAUUUUAUUACUAUUCUAUUAUUAUCUGGAUACUCAUACAUUUGUGGGAU